GUAGUAUUCCCUCCGUCCCAAAAUUCCUUGUCUUACAUUUGUUUAGAUACGGAUGUAUCUAACAUUAAAAUGUAACUAGAUACAUCCGUAUUUAGACAAAUUUAAGACAAGAAUUUUGGGACGGAGGGAGUACAAA
rfam:Triticum aestivum genome assembly, contig: Triticum_aestivum_CS42_TGACv1_scaffold_577122_7BL